rnacentral:rRNA from 1 species
AUUGAACGCUGGCGGCACGCUUAACACAUGCAAGUCGAGCGGUAACAUGGGUAGUAGCAAUACUAUCUGGUGACGAGCGGCGGACGGGUGAGUAACACGUAGGAACUUGCCCAGUAGUGGGGGACAACCAAGGGAAACUUUGGCUAAUACCGCAUAUACUCGAGAGAGGAAAGCUGCCAGCAAUGGUGGCGCUAUUGGAGAGGCCUGCGUCCGAUUAGGUAGUUGGUGAGGUAAUAGCUUACCAAGGCGAGGAUCGGUAACUGGUCUGAGAGGACGACCAGUCACACUGGGACUGAGACACGGCCCAGACUCCUACGGGAGGCAGCAGUGGGGAAUCUUGGACAAUGGGGGCAACCCUGAUCCAGCGAUGCCGCGUGAGUGAAGAAGGCCUUCGGGUCGUAAAGCUCUUUAGGCUGGGAAGAAGGUUAGUAGUUUAAGAGAUAACUAGCUUGACUGUACCAGCAGAAUAAGCACCGGCAAACUCUGUGCCAGCCGCCGCCGUAACAC